GCUCGAUCUAUCAUUCCUGAUUUCUUUCCUAGGGUUUCUAUCCCCAGAGUUGUCUCACUUAGGUGUGUUGGAGUAUCCAGGACUGGCUGAGUUGGGAGUGUUAGCUUAUGAUGGCUUGUGACUAGCUGUGAUCUCUUCCAUGAUCACAAAUUAGAAGAAUGGUGAUUAUAUGUGUGUGGAAAAUAACAUCCAUGCCAUCCCACAUUUUGCCAUUGCAAACUUCUGCCAUGGGAAAGAUGAAACAGAAAACACUUGCUUCAAAUAUAUCGUGAUACAUAAUGAGAUUGCCAUUCCUCAUUCUUAUUAUAUCUGGAUUUACAGUGACUGAGGAGGUACAUGAGUCACAUAUCUGGUUGUGUCUAUGAGUAUUCUCCAAAAGGAGUGACAUAGGAAAUGAAAGAACCUAGUGGGGAAACCCCCACUCAACUCCCUAUUCUGCGUGCACCCAAGAAGCACAAACAGAACAGAACACCUUGAUGUAAAACCAUGAGGUAGUUUAAUGGAGGAGCUCUGGGUCGAAAUGUAUCUCACGCAGAAGACAGUAGAUUCGACCAUGAGGUUUGGAAGCUAGGGGGUUUUAUAGAAAAGGGGCUGGGGCUGGGUGAAGAAUUGGUGCAGUUUCACAAGAUUGGUCCAUUUAAACAUCAGCAGACUGUACAUGCAGAUAACAUUUAACUUAGGUCAGAAGGGCAGGAGAUAGGGAGGUGCCUGACCAGUCCGGACAUGUCAUUCUCUUCAUCUUGAUGGCCAGGCAGCCUCAGGAAUGUCUUAUUGAUAGGCUUGCCUUGGCGUGUCCUGGCCUGUUCUGCUAUGUUCUCAGCCCCAGGUUUCAAAGCUCACAAACAACUCUUUGGGCUAUUUGACAUAAAUUACAUGAAUCACAGGUCUCAAGUUUUAUUUUCUUUCAGAAAGAAGCCCCACUCUAUUAUAUAAGCAGGACAAAUAGGUAGAGUGAAUACAUACUGUGCGUAUACCCCCUGUACAUAUGUAGAAGAUAGGCAGCUGGGUUUUCUUGUGGUCUCCAACUGGAGCAGGGGUUGUUCCUAAAGAUGUUGCCUGUCUGUGAAAUAAAUUCCCUUAAUUGGACUGCCUUGUCUGGUGCCAGUAGAAGAAAAUGUGCUUAGACUUACAGAGAACUGAUGUGCCAGGCUGGGUGGAUUCCCCAGGGGUACCUCAACCUUCUCACAGCAGAACAGGUGGUGCAAGGGAUGGUUCAAGGGGGAUCUGGGAGUGGGAGCUGUGUU
rnacentral:lncRNA from 1 species